rnacentral:rRNA from 1 species
AGCGAACGCUGGCGGCAGGCCUAACACAUGCAAGUCGAACGAACCUUUCGGGGUUAGUGGCGGACGGGUGAGUAACACGUGGGAACGUGCCUUUAGGUUCGGAAUAACUCAGGGAAACUUGUGCUAAUACCGAAUGUGCCCUUCGGGGGAAAGAUUUAUCGCCGUUAGAGCGGCCCGCGUCUGAUUAGCUAGUUGGUUGAGGUAAUGGCUCACCAAGGCGACGAUCAGUACAUGGUCUGAGAGGAUGAUCAGCGACAUUGGGACUGAGACACGGCCCAAACUCCUACGGGAGGCAGCAGUGGGGAAUCUUGCGCAAUGGGCGAAAGCCUGACGCAGCCAGGCCGCGUGAAUGAUGAAGGUCUUAGGAUUGUAAAAUUCUUUCACCGGGGACGAUAAUGACGGUACCCGGAGAAGAAGCCCCGGCUAACUUCGUG